rnacentral:snRNA from 1 species
GUGCUCACUUCGGCAGCACAUAUACUAAAACAGGAAUAAUACAGGGAAGAUUAGCAUGGCCCCUGCCCAAGGAUGACACGCAAAUUCAUGAAGCGUUCCAUAUAUUU